rnacentral:tRNA from 1 species
GGUCUUUUAGUAUAAUGGUCGUACGACUACCCUUCACGUAGUUAGUGUCAGUUCGAAUCUGAUAAAGACUA